rnacentral:misc_RNA from 1 species
AGGUAACUGUUGGCGUAUAAAAGCUGUCUCGCGGCCAACCUAGAACAUUCUCUCAGUGUCAGGAAGAUGACGUCCGACAAGCAGAAGGAAGCAGUCAUUGAAAAAGAUAAAGGAAAUGCCUUUUACAAGAAAAAAGAAUUCGAAAAAGCGCUGGAACAUUAUGAAGCCGCUCUGAAAUUAGAUCCAACCAAUAUUUCCAUCAUGACCAACCGUGCAGCCGUUUACUUCGAACAGAACAAGCUGGACGAUUGUAUCAAAGAAUGUGAAAAAGCCAUUGAGGUGGGUCGUGAAAAGCAUUCCCCGUUCAAUGUGAUUGCCAAAGCGUUUUGCCGCAUUGGCAACGCUUAUCUGAAAAAAGACAACCUGGAGAAGGCGCUCACCUAUUACAAUAAGUCCCUGUCUGAACACCGAGUGCCCGAAGUUGUAAAGAAGGCCCAGAACGUGGAGUCGAUGAUCAAAGAGAGAGAACGGCUCGCCUAUAUUAACCCAGAAAUCUCUUUGGAGGAGAAAAGCAAGGGCAACAAAAUGUACCAGGAUGGGAACUUUCCGGAUGCUAUCAAACAUUAUAACGAAGCAAUUCUCCGCAACCCGGACGACGCCAAAAUCUACAGCAACCGGUCGGCUUGUUACAUGAAGUUGAUGGAGUAUUCGUUGGCCUUGAAAGAUGCCGACGAGUGCAUAAAAAGGGAUCCGACUUUCGUCAAGGGUUACCUGCGGAAAGGUGCCACAUUUUUGGCGCAAAAGGAAUCGACCAAGGCAGCCGACGCCUACUCGAAAGCUCUGGAACUCGACCCGCAAUGCCAAGAAGCGAAGGAAGGUUACCAGAAGUCGGUGAUGAGUCAAGGAAACGACAUCGACAGCGUCAAGAAGCGAGUGAUGAACAACCCCGAAGUGCAGAACAUCCUGUGUGACCCUGCGAUGAGGGCCAUACUUCAACAGAUGCAGGAGAACCCCAAGGCAAUAAGUGAACAUCUGUCCAACCCCGAAAUAAGGGACAAGAUUGACAAACUCAUGGAAUGCGGCAUUAUCGACAUUCGCUGAUUUCUUUUCUCUUUUUUGUAUAUUUUCUUGUUUCCCCCCACCCCCCAUGUUUUGUUUGUUUAUACAUACACACACACACACACACACACAC